AAUUUAUCAGUCAGAUUUAUAUCAAUUAAUUCUCAACCCACAAAAUGCCUACACAGUGAACUCAGAGCCAAUAUAUAUAUUGAUACAAGCUGCCCACCUAGACUGGACAAAUUGCCCUAUAUUAUUCUAUGCUCUUCUAUACUAUCCAUAGCUACCUGUGGCUUUUUAAGCCCAUGUGAUUGGGUUCGUCCUCUUAUUCCUCCAUCUUCUCUGUCCUUCUGUCCUCUCUGUCCCCUGUCCUCUGUCUCUGAAACUCUCAGCCCUGCCUUCCUUUCAUGCCCUCACCUGCGUAUUGACAGCAAUCUACACCUACCUUAGGUUAGAAAAUGCCAUGAAAUCCUGCAGACCACAAUUAAUAAAAACUUUUUUGAAAAU
rnacentral:lncRNA from 1 species